UACGAAGGGAGCUAGCGUUGUUCGGAAUCACUGGGCGUAAAGCGCACGUAGGCGGAUUUGUAAGUCAGGGGUGAAAUCCCGGGGCUCAACCUCGGAACUGCCUUUGAUACUGGGGAUCUCGAGUCCGGGAGAGGUGAGUGGAACUGCGAGUGUAGAGGUGAAAUUCGUAGAUAUUCGCAAGAACACCAGUGGCGAAGGCGGCUCACUGGCCCGGAACUGACGCUGAGGUGCGAAAGCGUGGGGAGCAAACAGG
rnacentral:rRNA from 1 species